GCCCAGACUCCUACGGGAGGCAACAGUGGGGAAUAUUGCAUAAUGGGGGAAACCCUGAUGCAGCGACGCCGCGUGAGCGAUGAAGUAUUUCGGUAUGUAAAGCUCUAUCAGCAGGGAAGAAGAUGACGGUACCUGACUAAGAAGCCCCGGCUAACUACGUGCCAGCAGCCGCGGUAAUACGUAGGGGGCAAGCGUUAUCCGGAUUUACUGGGUGUAAAGGGAGCGUAGACGGCGAUGCAAGCCAGAUGUGAAAGCCCGGGGCUCAACCCCGGGACUGCAUUUGGAACUGUGUGGCUGGAGUGUCGGAGAGGCAGGCGGAAUUCCUAGUGUAGCGGUGAAAUGCGUAGAUAUUAGGAGGAACACCAGUGGCGAAGGCGGCCUGCUGGACGAUGACUGACGUUGAGGCUCGAAAGCGUGGGGAGCAAACAGGAUUAGAUACCCGAGUA
rnacentral:rRNA from 1 species